AAGCCCACUCUGACCAUCCUGCUCAAGAUUUUCAUCCCUUCGCUUAGUAACAUGCGAAAGAUGCACAUCAAUGUCAUCCUCAUCUUCCUCAUUUAAAUCUACUUUACUAGUUGAAGGGGAUGAUUUCCAAGAAAGCACGAGGUGAUCAACCUCUAUAUUUUUAUUGAAAUGAUCGAGGAAAGAACCUCACUAUCGUCUUUGCCCAGACAAACCCCAACAUUAUUUAAAUUGUCAGCAAUGACUUUAGGCUUAAAAGAAACAAAAGGAAAACUCACUGAUUUCCAAAUUCUGCUUUGCCGCUAGGCGCUGAGCCUUGCUAAGGAUGUCCUCAUCAGAGACCACCCUCUUGCCUGAGAGUCAAGUAACUUCUCCUCCAGCCAAAUGUUUUUUUAGGGAGAUAGUUUGAUUUAAACCAGUCUUGAAGAGCAAUCAAGACAUUGUUGUCAACUUGAGCCAAACGUUGGAGAGCCUAUGUCAUCUCAUCAUUUUUCAUAUUAGCCUUAAUCUUGAACAAUUUGCAUAAAUGUUGUAAAGCAAGGGCACCUUAGAUGAAGAAAGUAGUAUUUCAGAGUUGCCACAACAUUGAUCAUGGAGUACAUGCACGGUAUUAACAUCCCCUUGCCCAUGAACAUUAUCUGCAGAAAGAAGUGAAUUAACAUCUUUGUUGAGUGAGAUAAGGUCUGACUAAUAGACCGUAGAGAAUUAUCCAUG
rnacentral:lncRNA from 7 species